rnacentral:lncRNA from 1 species
CGCAUUAUACUGGUGGGCGACCUAGAACUUAAAUGUAUUUCCGCAUUAUACUGGUGGGCGACCUAGAACUUACAUGUAUUCCCGCAUUAUACUGGUGGGCGACCUAGAACUUAAAUGUAUUCCCGCAUUAUACUUGUGGGCGACCUAGAACUUAAAUGUAUUCCCGCAUUAUACUGGGGGGCGACCUAGAACUUACAUGUAUUCCCGCAUUAUACUGGUGGGCGACCUAGAACUUAAAAGUAUUCCCGCAUUAUACUGGUGGGCGAUCUAGAACUUAAAUGUAUUCCCGCAUUAUA